rnacentral:rRNA from 1 species
AGUGAACGCUGGCGGCGUGCCUAAUACAUGCAAGUCGAACGGAGAUUAAGUAGCUUGCUAUUUAAUCUUAGUGGCGCACGGGUGAGUAAUAUAUAGCUAACUUGCCCAUUACUAAGGGACAACAGUUGGAAACGACUGCUAAUACCUUAUACUCCGUAUCUAUAUAAGUAGAUACGGGAAAGUUUUUCGGUAAUGGAUAGGGCUAUAUCGUAUCAGCUAGUUGGUAAGGUAAUGGCUUACCAAGGCUAUGACGCGUAACUGGUCUGAGAGGAUGAUCAGUCACACUGGAACUGAGACACGGUCCAGACUCCUACGGGAAGCAGCAGUAGGGAAUAUUGCUCAAUGGGGGAAACCCUGAAGCAGCAACGCCGCGUGGAGGAUGACACUUUUCGGAGCGUAAACUCCUUUUCUUGGGAAAGAAUUAUGACGGUACCCAAGGAAUAAGCACCGGCUAACUCCGU